GGUUUAGGGGUCUGGGCUGGGGGGAUGGGGUGGGGGGCACAUCGUGACUGUGUUUUUCAUAACUUAUGUUUUUAUAUGGUUGCAUUUAUGCCAAUAAAUCCUCAGCUGGGACCUGGGUCAGUUUCCUGAGGUCAAAGUGGGGUUGAGGUUCCCUUUGUGGUGCUGAGAUGCCAUUUGAAACAUUUGAGAGGACUAGACAUGGGCUUGUGCUGGUGGCUGCACUUCUAAGUGCUCCUUUCUCUGGAUCUCUCAGUCCCCUCGGUCUCUCUAGGUCCCUCACUCCUUUUCCUUGGUCUCUUGGUGGGGUUUCUGCCAUCCACAGUUCUUUCUCAGGAUCUUUGUCCUUGUCCAAGUUCCCCUAUCCCUCUGGUAGGAUUUGUCCCUGAGCUCUCUGCCUGCCUUGCUGUGCUGGGGGUGGGGGUGGAUUCCCAGCAUAGCUGGGCCCUCCGGUUUCCCAGAAAACUUGUCUCCCCUCCUCCUCCCAGCACUCACAUUGUUCCUCUCCCUGGCUAUUUUUUCCUGUCCAGGACCCUCCAAGGCCAGCUGACAAUGAGUACUGCCCAGCUGUCUGUAUCUGGGGAAACUGA